AAUUUUCUGACAACCAUUUCACAUUGCACUACUAGGUGUUCAAACUACUGUUUGAACAAACUACUGUUUGAACACCUAAUAGUGCAAUGUGAAAUGGUUGUCAGAAAAUU
rnacentral:pre_miRNA from 1 species